ACAUACCUCAGAAACAAUGUAAACAAAUAGUCCUUGUAUCACCGUACCAAAACCAUUACUUGCUGGCACAAGCAAAGCAACCUGCGCACAAAUGAAAGCAGCCAUUACAACUUACAAGAAAGAAAGAAGAAGACUUUAGAGCUUCCUUUGUCUCUCUGCAAUCUCUCCUUUCCCUUUUCUCGCUCUCCAUAUCUAUACUCUUCCUUCCUAUACCAAAACGUGUAACUUCGGAUCUAAUACAAUCUUCCCUUUAAUCAAUUUCCAGGAGAAUUUGUUUUUGGGAUUAUUGGGUUGCAAAUGGAAUCGUCUUCAAGUCAGCCAGAGUUUGACUACUUGUUCAAGCUGUUGUUGAUUGGGGAUUCUGGUGUGGGGAAGAG
rnacentral:misc_RNA from 1 species